rnacentral:piRNA from 1 species
UGCCGUUUUCCUGCCAGUUAGUGGUUUUCC